AGGGCCAGAGUCAGUAGGAGUAGACCCGAAACCGGGUGAUCUAUCCAUGUCCAGGUUGAAGCUGCCGUAAGAGGUAGUGGAGGACCGAACCCACAUCCGUUGAAAAGGGUGGGGAUGAGGUGUGGAUAGGGGAGAAAUUCCAAUCGAACCCGGAGAUAGCUGGUUCUCCUCGAAAUAGCUUUAGGGCUAGCCUCGGUGUGAGUCUUGCGGAGGUAGAGCACUGAAUUUCCUAGGGGGCGUCAAAGCCUACCGAAGAAUAUCAAACUCCGAAUGCCGUGUAGAUAUCACCGGGAGUCAGACUGCACGAGAUAAGUUGGGCGGUCAAAAGGGAAAGAGCCCAGACCUACAGUUAAGGUCCCAAAGUGCGCGUUAAGUGGAAAAGGAUGUGGGAUUUCGAAGACAACCAGGAUGUUGGCUCAGAAGCAGCCAUACAUUCAAAGAGUGCGUAAUAGCUCACUGGUCGAGAGGUCCUGCGCCGAAAAUGUCCGGGGCUGAAACGCGCCACCGAAACUAAGGAAUCCGUAAGGAUUGGUAGAGGAGCAUUGCAUAUGGGAAGAAGCAGUACCGUAAGGAGCUGUGGACUAUAUGGAAGAGAGAAUGCCGGAAUGAGUAGCGAGAUAGAGGUGGGAAUCCUCUAGGCCGAAUAUCCAAGGUUUCCAGGGUAAAGCUGAUCUGCCCUGGGUGAGUCGGGACCUAAGGUGAGGGCGAGAGCCGUAGCCGAUGGACAACAGGUUGAUAUUCCUGUACUGCAGUAUGACAGAACUGUGGGGACACGUAAGGAGAGCGGGAGCCGGGAAUGGAAAGCCCGGUACAAGCGAGGUACCAGUAUGGUAGGAAAAUCCGCCAUGCAAUGGGAAGACGUGAUGUGGAGUGAAUUUUAGUAACGAAGCCCGUGAGCCAUGCGUCAAGAAAAGCCGCUAUCGUUCAUAUUGUACCCGUACCGUAAACCGACACAGGUGGAUGAGGAGAGAAUCCUAAGGCCGGCGGAAGAAGUAUUGCCAAGGAACUCGGCAAAAUGGCCCCGUAACUUAGGGAGAAGGGGUGCCUGCGAGAGCAGGCCGCAGAGAAUAGGCUCAAGCAACUGUUUAGCAAAAACACAGGUCUAUGCGAAACCGAAAGGUGAGGUAUAUGGGCUGACGCCUGCCCGGUGCUGGAAGGUUAAGAGGAGAGGUUAGCGGUAACGCGAAGCUUUGAAUUUAAGCCCCAGUAAACGGCGGCCGUAACUAUAACGGUCCUAAGGUAGCGAAAUUCCUUGUCGGGUAAGUUCCGACCCGCACGAAAGGCGUAAUGAUUUGAGCGCUG
rnacentral:rRNA from 1 species